rnacentral:tRNA from 1 species
AGGUGUUAAGUUUGGUUAAUUUUUCAGCCAUUUUUCGUAUUGCAUUGAUUUUUAGUUAUUUUUCAUCGGUCUUGAAAACCGGCGACCCGAAAGGGUUCCAGAGUUCGAAUCUCUGCGCUUCCGCCA